CGCUGUGCUGCCUGUGAUGUGCCGCAAAACACAUAAUAUGGCGCAUUACCGGAGUGGUGGAGCCGAGAACCGGAGGAGGGGAGUCUGUGUGGAAGAGCAGUCUAGGAAGCAGAAGGGGGCAUACACAAGGUCUCAACAUUGUGACGAAAGUGAAAGGGUCUGAAGUUUUUCCUAAUUCAUAAAAGUCUCCAGAGGGGAAGGCGAGGUGCCAGCUAGCUUCCCUAUGUUCCAUAGCUUCCUUCUAGUGUUUUUCCACUGGGAUAGCUUCUAGGCUUGGGGGCUCUGGCCAUGCUUUUU